rnacentral:rRNA from 1 species
CCUACGGGUGGCAGCAGUGGGGAAUAUUGGACAAUGGGCGAAAGCCUGACCCAGCAACGCCGCGUGAAGGAAGACGGCUUUCGGGUUGUAAACUUCUUUUGUUAGGGAAGAGUAGAGACCGGUGCCUGACGAAUAGCCAACGCUUAACUACGUGCCAGCGGCCGCGGAAAUACGAAGGUGGCAAGCGUUGUCCGGAUUUACUGGGUGUAAAGGGCGUGUAGCGGGGUUGACAAGUCAGUUGUGAAAUCAUGCGGCUUAACCGGAGAACUGAAUUUGAAACUGGUGUUCUUGAGUACAGGAGAGGUAGGCGGAAUUCCGGGUGUAGCGGUGAAAUGCGUAGAUAUUAGGAGGAACACCGGUGGCGAAGGCGGCCUACUAGACUGUAACUGACGGUGAGGCUCGAAAGUGUGGGGAGCAAACAGGAUUAGAUACCCGAGUAGUC